rnacentral:rRNA from 1 species
UACGUAGGGUGCAAGCGUUAAUCGGAAUUACUGGGCGUAAAGCGUGCGCAGGCGGUUAUGUAAGACAGAUGUGAAAUCCCCGGGCUCAACCUGGGAACUGCAUUUGUGACUGCAUAGCUAGAGUACGGUAGGGGGGGAUGGAAUUCCGCGUGUAGCAGUGAAAUGCGUAGAUAUGCGGAGGAACACCGAUGGCGAAGGCAAUCCCCUGGACCUGUACUGACGCUCAUGCACGAAAGCGUGGGGAGCAAACAGG